UACGAAGGUGGCAAGCGUUACUCGGAAUUACUAGGCGUAAAGGGCAGGUAGGUGGUCUGGUAAGUCUGUUGUGAAAGCUCCUUGCUUAACGGGGAGAGGUCAACAGAUACUGCCAGGCUUGAGUCUAGGAGAGGGUACUGGAAUUCCCGGUGUAGCGGUGAAAUGCGCAGAGAUCGGGAGGAACACCAAUGGCGAAAGCAGGUACCUGGACUAGUACUGACACUCAGAUGCGAAAGCGAGGGGAGCAAACAGG
rnacentral:rRNA from 1 species